rnacentral:rRNA from 1 species
CGGCGGACGGGUGAGUAAUGCCUAGGAAUCUGCCUGGUAGUGGGGGACAACGUUUCGAAAGGAACGCUAAUACCGCAUACGUCCUACGGGAGAAAGUGGGGGAUCUUCGGACCUCACGCUAUCAGAUGAGCCUAGGUCGGAUUAGCUAGUUGGUGGGGUAACGGCUCACCAAGGCGACGAUCCGUAACUGGUCUGAGAGGAUGAUCGGCCACACUGGAACUGAGACACGGUCCAG